rnacentral:rRNA from 1 species
GGGUUGUGAGGUUAAGCGACUAAGCGUACACGGUGGAUGCCCUGGCAGUCAGAGGCGAUGAAGGACGUGCUAAUCUGCGAUAAGCGUCGGUAAGGUGAUAUGAACCGUUAUAACCGGCGAUUUCCGAAUGGGGAAACCCAGUGUGAUUCGUCACACUAUCAUUAACUGAAUCCAUAGGUUAAUGAGGCGAACCGGGGGAACUGAAACAUCUAAGUACCCCGAGGAAAAGAAAUCAACCGAGAUUCCCCCAGUAGCGGCGAGCGAACGGGGAGCAGCCCAGAGCCUGAAUCAGUAUGUGUGUUAGUGGAAGCGUCUGGAAAGGCGCGCGAUACAGGGUGACAGCCCCGUACACAAAAAUGCACAUGCUGUGAGCUCGAUGAGUAGGGCGGGACACGUGGUAUCCUGUCUGAAUAUGGGGGGACCAUCCUCCAAGGCUAAAUACUCCUGACUGACCGAUAGUGAACCAGUACCGUGAGGGAAAGGCGAAAAGAACCCCGGCGAGGGGAGUGAAAAAGAACCUGAAACCGUGUACGUACAAGCAGUGGGAGCACGCUUAGGCGUGUGACUGCGUACCUUUUGUAUAAUGGGUCAGCGACUUAUAUUCUGUAGCAAGGUUAACCGAAUAGGGGAGCCGAAGGGAAACCGAGUCUUAACUGGGCGUUAAGUUGCAGGGUAUAGACCCGAAACCCGGUGAUCUAGCCAUGGGCAGGUUGAAGGUUGGGUAACACUAACUGGAGGACCGAACCGACUAAUGUUGAAAAAUUAGCGGAUGACUUGUGGCUGGGGGUGAAAGGCCAAUCAAACCGGGAGAUAGCUGGUUCUCCCCGAAAGCUAUUUAGGUAGCGCCUCGUGAAUUCAUCUCCGGGGGUAGAGCACUGUUUCGGCAAGGGGGUCAUCCCGACUUACCAACCCGAUGCAAACUGCGAAUACCGGAGAAUGUUAUCACGGGAGACACACGGCGGGUGCUAACGUCCGUCGUGAAGAGGGAAACAACCCAGACCGCCAGCUAAGGUCCCAAAGUCAUGGUUAAGUGGGAAACGAUGUGGGAAGGCCCAGACAGCCAGGAUGUUGGCUUAGAAGCAGCCAUCAUUUAAAGAAAGCGUAAUAGCUCACUGGUCGAGUCGGCCUGCGCGGAAGAUGUAACGGGGCUAAACCAUGCACCGAAGCUGCGGCAGCGACGCUUAUGCGUUGUUGGGUAGGGGAGCGUUCUGUAAGCCUGUGAAGGUGUGCUGUGAGGCAUGCUGGAGGUAUCAGAAGUGCGAAUGCUGACAUAAGUAACGAUAAAGCGGGUGAAAAGCCCGCUCGCCGGAAGACCAAGGGUUCCUGUCCAACGUUAAUCGGGGCAGGGUGAGUCGACCCCUAAGGCGAGGCCGAAAGGCGUAGUCGAUGGGAAACAGGUUAAUAUUCCUGUACUUGGUGUUACUGCGAAGGGGGGACGGAGAAGGCUAUGUUGGCCGGGCGACGGUUGUCCUGGUUUAAGCGUGUAGGCUGGUUUUCCAGGCAAAUCCGGAAAAUCAAGGCUGAGGCGUGAUGACGAGGCACUACGGUGCUGAAGCAACAAAUGCCCUGCUUCCAGGAAAAGCCUCUAAGCAUCAGGUAACAUCAAAUCGUACCCCAAACCGACACAGGUGGUCAGGUAGAGAAUACCAAGGCGCUUGAGAGAACUCGGGUGAAGGAACUAGGCAAAAUGGUGCCGUAACUUCGGGAGAAGGCACGCUGAUAUGUAGGUGAAGUCCCUCGCGGAUGGAGCUGAAAUCAGUCGAAGAUACCAGCUGGCUGCAACUGUUUAUUAAAAACACAGCACUGUGCAAACACGAAAGUGGACGUAUACGGUGUGACGCCUGCCCGGUGCCGGAAGGUUAAUUGAUGGGGUCAGCGCAAGCGAAGCUCUUGAUCGAAGCCCCGGUAAACGGCGGCCGUAACUAUAACGGUCCUAAGGUAGCGAAAUUCCUUGUCGGGUAAGUUCCGACCUGCACGAAUGGCGUAAUGAUGGCCAGGCUGUCUCCACCCGAGACUCAGUGAAAUUGAACUCGCUGUGAAGAUGCAGUGUACCCGCGGCAAGACGGAAAGACCCCGUGAACCUUUACUAUAGCUUGACACUGAACAUUGAGCCUUGAUGUGUAGGAUAGGUGGGAGGCUUGGAAGUGUGGACGCCAGUCUGCAUGGAGCCGACCUUGAAAUACCACCCUUUAAUGUUUGAUGUUCUAACGUUGACCCGUAAUCCGGGUUGCGGACAGUGUCUGGUGGGUAGUUUGACUGGGGCGGUCUCCUCCUAAAGAGUAACGGAGGAGCACGAAGGUUGGCUAAUCCUGGUCGGACAUCAGGAGGUUAGUGCAAUGGCAUAAGCCAGCUUGACUGCGAGCGUGACGGCGCGAGCAGGUGCGAAAGCAGGUCAUAGUGAUCCGGUGGUUCUGAAUGGAAGGGCCAUCGCUCAACGGAUAAAAGGUACUCCGGGGAUAACAGGCUGAUACCGCCCAAGAGUUCAUAUCGACGGCGGUGUUUGGCACCUCGAUGUCGGCUCAUCACAUCCUGGGGCUGAAGUAGGUCCCAAGGGUAUGGCUGUUCGCCAUUUAAAGUGGUACGCGAGCUGGGUUUAGAACGUCGUGAGACAGUUCGGUCCCUAUCUGCCGUGGGCGCUGGAGAACUGAGGGGGGCUGCUCCUAGUACGAGAGGACCGGAGUGGACGCAUCACUGGUGUUCGGGUUGUCAUGCCAAUGGCACUGCCCGGUAGCUAAAUGCGGAAGAGAUAAGUGCUGAAAGCAUCUAAGCACGAAACUUGCCCCGAGAUGAGUUCUCCCUGACUCCUUGAGAGUCCUGAAGGAACGUUGAAGACGACGACGUUGAUAGGCCGGGUGUGUAAGCGCAGCGAUGCGUUGAGCUAACCGGUACUAAUGAACCGUGAGGCUUAACCUUACAACGCCGAAGGUGUUU